CCAUCAGAGAGGCCAUGUCCAAGAGCUCAUCCUUGACAGGAUCACUGUAUUUCUCAACAAGCGCAUCCGUAAAGUCUUGGAGACCUUUAACCGCCUUGUUUACUGACUCCAAAACCUCGAUGUCUUGCCAAGAUGGCACAAGAUGGCGGCUUUUAACAUCAGACCCCAGGACACGGGCUAUAGCCUUCUCCUGUUCCAGGAAUCGCUCGAUCAUCUUUUGGCGGGAGCCCCAUCUGGUAGGCGAUUCUGUUGUUAGCUGAUGAGGGGGAAGGCCAAGCUCUGACUGAGCUACACCCAGCUCUCUUCUUUUCUUCCAGCUGUAGGAAAAAGCAGCGACUAUUUUCUUGCAAACUCCAAUUGCACGAUCUAUGCGGGGAUCCUUAACACCAUUCUCUGUUUGAUAACGAAUAAAACACAAAGACAUACAUCACUAUUGGGGACUUUAAUAAAUAUCAGUCUACAUCCAUCUAAAAAUUAUUUAUUUUCUUCUGUAUUUCAAAACUUUGUCAUUCCAAAACUCAGACACUGCAGAUACACAAAUAGAAUUUUGUUUACUAUAGGCAUAUGUGCAGAUGUGGAGAAAUUUGAAUCCAUUUUUUAAAAUAAUCUAUUCUACUGUCUUUAUGAAUCAAAUACAGAUCAAAUGGACAUGUCAUAUUGAAACAUCUUUUUUUUUUUUU